AGUGAACGCUGGCGGUAGGCCUAACACAUGCAAGUCGAACGGCAGCACAGUAAGAGCUUGCUCUUACGGGUGGCGAGUGGCGGACGGGUGAGGAAUACAUCGGAAUCUACUUUUUCGUGGGGGAUAACGUAGGGAAACUUACGCUAAUACCGCAUACGACCUACGGGUGAAAGCAGGGGAUCUUCGGACCUUGCGCGAUUGAAUGAGCCGAUGUCGGAUUAGCUAGUUGGCGGGGUAAAGGCCCACCAAGGCGACGAUCCGUAGCUGGUCUGAGAGGAUGAUCAGCCCAACUGGAAAUUAGACACGGGCCAGACUCCUACGGGAGGCAGCAGUGGGGAAUAUUGGACCAUGGGCGCAAGCCUGAUCCAGCCAUACCGGGUGGGGUAAGAAGGCCUUUGGGUUGUAAAGCCCUUUUGUUGGGAAAGAAAAGCAGCAGGUUAAUACCCCGCUGUUCUGACGGUACCCAAAGAAUAAGCACCGGCUAACUUCGUG
rnacentral:rRNA from 1 species